rnacentral:pre_miRNA from 1 species
CCAANACUCCCUCCGUCCCAAAAUUCUUGUCUUAAAUUUGUCUAAAUACGGAUGUAUCUAGUUACAUUUUAGUGUUAGAUACAUCCGUAUCUAAACAAAUGUAAGACAAGAAUUUUGGGACGGAGGGAAUACUGC